rnacentral:lncRNA from 1 species
CAACUGCAAUUGCUUACUUUCAUUGUCCAGUUUAUUGUAAUUUCGCUUCCGGUCAAAACUCAAAAUCUCCAAAGUAUCGUAAUUGACUCGACAUAGAGGCCGAAAUUUACCAUUGAAAUAAUAAGAUUUUUUUUUUUUUUGAGAGAGAUAGGUAGCACGCUAUCCGCUUCGUUUAUUUCAUUUAGAAAUAAACUUAGCUGAAAAUGUGAACAAACUAGGAUUCAAACUUAGCUGGAAAUAAUAAAAUAUUAAUAAUAGAGAGAUUCAACUUUUACUCUAUUCAUCUUUUACUAGAUA